AUUGAACGCUGGCGGCAUGCCUUACACAUGCAAGUCGAACGGCAGCGGGGGAGAAGCUUGCUUUUCCUGCCGGCGAGUGGCGAACGGGUGAGUAAUACAUCGGAACGUGCCCUGUAGUGGGGGAUAACUAGUCGAAAGAUUAGCUAAUACCGCAUACGACCUGAGGGUGAAAGUGGGGGACCGCAAGGCCUCAUGCUAUAGGAGCGGCCGAUGUCUGAUUAGCUAGUUGGUGGGGUAAAGGCCUACCAAGGCGACGAUCAGUAGCUGGUCUGAGAGGACGAUCAGCCAAACGGGGACUGGUACACGGCCCAGACUCCUACGGGAGUCAGCAGUGGGGAAUUUUGGACAAUGGGCGAAAGCCUGAUCCAGCAAUGCCACGUGUGUGAAGAAGGCCUUCGGGUUGUAAAGCACUUUUGUCCGGAAAGAAAUGGCUCUGGUUAAUGCCUGGGGUCGAUGACGGUACCGGAAGAAUAAGGACCGGCUAACUACGUGCCAGCCGCCGCCGUAA
rnacentral:rRNA from 1 species